rnacentral:rRNA from 1 species
AGUGAACGCUGGCGGUAGGCCUAACACAUGCAAGUCGAACGGCAGCACAGUAAGAGCUUGCUCUUACGGGUGGCGAGUGGCGGACGGGUGAGGAAUACAUCGGAAUCUACUUUUUCGUGGGGGAUAACGUAGGGAAACUUACGCUAAUACCGCAUACGACCUACGGGUGAAAGCAGGGGAUCUUCGGACCUUGCGCGAUUGAAUGAGCCGAUGUCGGAUUAGCUAGUUGGCGGGGUAAAGGCCCACCAAGGCGACGAUCCGUAGCUGGUCUGAGAGGAUGACAAGCCAAUCUGGAACUGAGACACGGCCCAGACCCCUACGGGAGGCAGCAGGGGGGAAUAUUGGAAAAUGGGCGCAAGCCUGAUCCAGCCAUACCGGGGGGGUGAAGAAGGCCUUCGGGUUGUAAAGCCCUUUUGUUGGGAAAAAAAAGCAGCAGGUUAAUACCCCGCUGUUCUGACGGUACCCAAAGAAUAAGCCCCGGCUAACUUCGU